AUUAAGUAUUAAGGGGUGGUUUGCUGUAGUUGAGACAGAUUAAAGUAUUGGUCUCUAGAUGUUUUCAGAUAUAGAUUUAUUCUUUAACAAGCUUAGGCAAUUACUUUAGGUAUUUCUUACAAAUUUGCUGUGCAAACAAAUAAAUCUAGGGACUUUCCUCCAGCACUCUGCGAUUUCAUUUGCCAUUUCAUGCCAAGGGUAUUUUUAUUAUUUGUAGCUUGAAAGGAAAUGCACUUUCAUUUGUAGAUAUCGCUGAAUUAAAUCUGUUAGCUGAGAAUGAUGACAAAGCUACUGCAUUAUUUAUGGUCAUAACCCAGCUGGGUAUGAGGUUUCUUUUGCUGCAGAGUGUGUGCUCUUGGGGAAUUCAAGGAAGAAUUUGACUCAGAAAUUUGGGCUUGACAAUAUAAUUUAUUUAUUCUGAAGGAAUCCUCUCUACAUCUUGAAAGGGAUAACUGCAUAACACCACAUCGUUGAACAGUUAUAUUAAACAAUUUCCAGAGAAGCCAAAUUAUUAAGACCAGAAAUUCUUUACUAUUAAUAGUUUAAAUACUGUUAACAAUCAAGCAUACAGAUGGUCAAUGCUGAAGAAGAAGGGAGCAAGUAUCAACAGAAUAUGCUGGAUCAAGUCUUCUGAAUUAACCUAUCCACUCCUACACACCCCAUGGUUUCUCACACUGUGUGGGGAAGUCCUGUCUCAGGCGCUAGUGCACAUGCACACUUCAGUUACCAGAACUUCAGAAUGGAGAAGGACACAACAGAAAACUUGUGAUGGCACUUCCACCCCACCUCUGGAAGACCUGCAUCUUUUAGUCAAUCCACUACUAAACAGCUCUGCCACUGGAAGUCUCAGUUCACUCUAAAACCUGCUACUAAAGAGGAGAGACCUACCUGAAUGAAACCUUGCCAAAUUUUUUUUUGAAUUGCAAUUUAUCAUAAAAUUAAACAGGGAGCUCUUUUGGGAAACCAAAACUU